AUUGAACGCUGGCGGCAGGCCUAACACAUGCCAGUCGAGCGGAUGAAGGGAGCUUGCUCCUGGAUUCAGCGGCGGACGGGUGAGUAAUGCCUAGGAAUCUGCCUGGUAGUGGGGGAUAACGUCCGGAAACGGGCGCUAAUACCGCAUACGUCCUGAGGGAGAAAGUGGGGGAUCUUCGGACCUCACGCUAUCAGAUGAGCCUAGGUCGGAUUAGCUAGUUGGUGGGGUAAAGGCCUACCAAGGCGACGAUCCGUAACUGGUCUGAGAGGGUGAUCAGUCACACUGGAACUGAGACACGGUCCAGACUCCUACGGGAGGCAGCAGUGGGGAAUAUUGGACAAUGGGCGAAAGCCUGAUCCAGCCAUGCCGCGUGUGUGAAGAAGGUCUUCGGAUUGUAAAGCACUUUAAGUUGGGAGGAAGGGCAGUAAGUUAAUACCUUGCUGUUUUGACGUUACCAACAGGAUAAGCACCGGCUAACUUCGUG
rnacentral:rRNA from 1 species